GUCCUAGCCGUAAACGUUGGGUGCUAGGUGUGGGUGGACAUCGACCCCAUCCGUGCCGAAGCUAACGCAUUAAGCACCCCGCCUGGGGAGUACGGCCGCAAGGCUAAAACUCAAAGGAAUUGACGGGGCCCCGCACAAGCGGCGGAGCAUGCGGCUUAAUUCGAUGCGACGCGAAGAACCUUACCUGGGUUUGACAUGCAGGGUGAAACCCGUGAAAACGGGCGCUCUUCGGAGCCUGCACAGGUGGUGCAUGGCUGUCGU
rnacentral:rRNA from 1 species